rnacentral:rRNA from 1 species
GUGUCAGCAGCCGCGGUAAUACGUAGGUGGCAAGCGUUGUCCGGAUUUAUUGGGCGUAAAGCGAGCGCAGGCGGAAGAAUAAGUCUGAUGUGAAAGCCCUCGGCUUAACCGAGGAACUGCAUCGGAAACUGUUUUUCUUGAGUGCAGAAGAGGAGAGUGGAACUCCAUGUGUAGCGGUGGAAUGCGUAGAUAUAUGGAAGAACACCAGUGGCGAAGGCGGCUCUCUGGUCUGUAACAGACGCUGAGGAGCGAAAGCGUGGGGAGCGAACAGGAUUAGAAACCCCAGUAGUCC